GUUCACAUAAUUUUAAUUAAUGUCAUUUUAAUAUUACUAAAAUUAUAUUACUUUAUUAUUUUACAAGCUUUAAAAUUGUCGCAAGGCCAAACAAAACGUAUCUGUGAGCUGGAAAUAUGUGGGGCACUGGGGACAGAGGCAGAGUGUCUCGAUGGCCUCUGCUGGCAUGUGGUGCCUGGCAUGUUGUAGGCAGUCAGCAAACAGUUCCUGAAUGAAUGAAUAAAUGACUGGAUGGAUAAGUGAAUGAAUGAAAGGGUUGGCAGGAUGCCCUGGUUCCCACGGGGCUGGGAUGCUCACGUUUGCCCCGUAUCCCAAGAGAGAACACUGUGUCCAGAGGGAGGUGGUGGAGCUGGCAUGGACACAGGGCUGGCUGGCGGCCACCCGCGGCCAGGAGCAGGACUGGGGAGGCCAGGCGCUGCUUGGAUCAGCCUUGGAGCCCCUAUGGGCACUCCGGUUCUCCAGGCAACAGCUUCCAGUCCUUUAGCCCCUCAUGUCACGGUUUAACACACACACAAGCCCCAAAAGAGGCCCCCCACUGCACCCCUCAACGUCCUCUCUGUGCAGCUUUUCCCAGCCCUUCACAUCUGCAGGAGACUCAGUCCUGAGAGGCCAGGCCGGGAUGGGCGGGGGCUAAGAAGGGAGGGAGGAACCAAGGUUUCUCCUCCAGCCCAGGGAGCCAGGGGCUGGCAUUCUGUGUCCAGGACUUCGGGCCCUCUGUGAGCCUCUGUCCGCCAAGGCGAUGGAGCUGUGUUUGGAGUCCCUCGUCUUUGGCAGCGGCUGGGGCCAAAGCCCGGGCAAGACCAACGCCUUCGGCACCCGGACUCAGGCUCCGUCCUCUCUGCCAGCGUGCGGCUACAAUGACUCGACAUGGCAGGUGGGCAAGCACAGCACGCCCCAACAGACAUGCUUUAUUUAAUAUGUACUAAAAAUACAGCAGGCCUGUGAAACCCACAGGUGCAAUUGCUUAAAAUGAGGCUAAGGUAGACGUGUGAAUGGUUAAUAAUGAGUUGAUUAAAAUAUUCAGAAAUCAUCUACUGGAGACGGGCAAACUGCAAAAUGGUAGCAUGGGAGCAACUGAUGUUCGAGAAAGCCCAGGCUCCGGCAAGCCGUGGGUUUGAAUUUACACAUGCGCACAUAAUGGGUAUGAAUAAACCUUUCUUCAAAAAAACCAGAUCAAGUCAAGGCAGUUAUUUGCUGUGGGCAGGUGCCAAGGCUGGCUGCUUCAGUCCCCACGCGAGUCGCCCCCGAGCCUGCUUCUGCAGCCCAGCCUGGAAAGUGCAAGGCACUUGGAAAGGAGCCACGCCCAACGCCCUGUACCAGCGGCCUCCCGGACACCAACAGCGUCCUCUGCGCCUGCUGCAGCUUGUCCCUUAGUCCUCCCUGGACAGAGGGCGUGAAGUUGGCUGCGCCAACAGGACGCGGCCCGCUCACUUCGGGGCUCAUUGUCCUGGACACACAGUCAGGGCUGGACGCCUCCAGCAGCCCCACGCUUCACCCCAAGGUCCGCAAACCUGACAACUUCGGAGGUAGGGAUAUCUUGACACAGUCUGAAAACAAACCAUUUAAAACUUUUUUUCUCAAAAAAUUAAAAUAAUUUUUUUCUGCUUACAAAAUCUAUAAAUUCAGUUCAAUAUCAAUGAAAAUCGCAACAGGAUGUUGACACUUGAGAAGCUGAUUUGAAAGUUCAUCUGAAAGAGAAAAUAUAUAGGAAUCCUGAAGAUGAUUUCGAAAACCUCCAAAAAGACUUCAGUAAUUCACACAGAAAAUCCAGAAACAGAUUCAUGUUUAUGGGGAAAUUUAGUAUUUGAUACAGGAGACCUUUCAAAGCCAAGCUGGAAAGAUGGAAGGUCAACAGAGGCUUUGGGGAAAACUCACUAUCCAUUUUGAAACCAAUGUUAGAAUCUUCUUACCAUUUGCAAGAAUAAACUCCAGGUGUAUUAAAGAGCUAAACAUUUAAAAAAUCUAUAAAAGUUUUAAAGCCAAAUAUGGAAGAAUAUUUUUAAAAUCCUAUGGUGAAGAAGGCUUUUACUAAGCAGCAAACAAAACCUGGAAACCGUAAAGGAAAUGACUGACAGAUUUGAAUAUUGCAAGAACUAAAUGAAUGCCUCCUUAAACAAAUUAAAGGACAAAUUCCAGGCAGGGAGAAAAUAGUUUACAAUAGAAGUAAUGUGCCAAUGGUUAAUAUCUGUGUUGCAUAAACAUGUCUUUCCAAUCAAUAAGAAAAGAGUAGGAAAUGGGUAAGGAUUUAACAGGCAAUUCACAGAAGACAAAGUAACCGGCCCCUAAAUGGGAGCAUAUCCUCAACUUCACUAGUAAUAAAGGAAACGAAUUUAAAAGACGAUACAUUUCUCACUUCUUCUCUCCUUAUAGCUGUAUUCCACCUUUGACCAUACAGCCUGUUUUUAUUUAUCGUAAGCAUAGGUUAAUAAAUACAGGGCUUACCAUGUUAAUAUCUUCUUUCUAUGGAUGCGUAACAACUUAUUUUAUCAUUCCGUUUGUGACUGAAAUUGAAUUUCUUUCUGUAAACCUGAAAAUAUCUGAGACAAGCCUCGAUCAACUUAGAAGUUUACUUUGCCAAGAUUAAGGACACGUCUUGGGAGACAGGCCACUGCCUUCAGAGAAGGUGACAGAGGGCCAUGUCUGAAACAUUCUCCCACAACCAGGAACCCUCAGCAGCCGCUGAAGAGGAAAGGCAGUUAAAUGGAAAGACUUCUGAGCAAGUGGAGGAAAAGUCACGUGUGACCUAGGGAGGGGCUCCCACAGGAAGGGGCAAUGCCCUUGCCCUGUUCACCUAGCCUCCAGGUGGCUUCCCACUUGAAAUUUCAGAGGAUGGCAGAAACCUACUUACAAGGAAAUGAAAGAGGGCACAGCAACCUUAAGACCAGAGCAGCCCACGAUAUUUUUUAAUGAGGGCAAAAAUAGAAGACUUGCAAAAGACCCCUGAAAAUAAUGCCUGGAAGCUGCGAAACAUCAGACUGACACCGCACAAAAGAGGUCCAGCUGAGCAGGAGAAAAGCUUGAGAAGCAUCCAGAACAAUGUAGGUGGAGAGGCUAAGAAGAAAGAGGAGCCCACAUGGAAUGAAUAACCAAGGUCGGGACAGAGGAAGGUUCGCCAGAACUGGGAGGGCUGAAAUUGGACAUUGAGAUAAAUUAAAGAGUGUUCUUUAAAACUGUCAAGACUUUGGCUGGUCAAUAAGUAAACUGCAAACGAGUGUUCCUAAACCACAGCAGCAAUGCUCCCUGGAGGAGGGAAGGAGGCCGGGGCUGCCACUCUCCCAGGUGGCUGCGUCCCGGCCUUUGCCAUUGAUGUGUGCUUUCUCCAGGCUCACAGAUGUCCCUGGGCCGGUUGCAUCUGUGACCAGGACUCUGCCACCUGCCUGUGGCUUGCUGAUCAGCUGGUCACCCAGGAAUGUUAGGGAUGAACAGAGACCUAGAACUCAGGCUCCAUGGAUCUGGCAGCACCAGGAGACGAGGUUUCAAAUCUCAUGGCUGGGCCAGCCAGCCAGGUGCCCUGGAACUGUUGUGAUCCCUGCUCCUUGCCGGGCUUAGCCUCCUCUUACUUCAGCCCAGAAGUCCCCGAGUACCCACUCAACAAAUGCCAUCCCUUUAAUUUCUGUGGCCUGCUGCCAUCACGGCUCGCCUAAUUCAUUCCCUCCACACCCUAAGUGUCCACGGAAGUGGCUGAAACAGUAAAACCACAGAGGAGCAUUCAUUCCAGUCCCCAAG
rnacentral:lncRNA from 1 species